UUUUUUCCCCAAUUGAAACUCUAACGGCUGAGUAGCAGAGCACGAUUUCGGCUUACAGUGAGAGUAAAGUAAUUUCGUUGGCUCCGGGAUUUUUCUUGUUAGCUACUCUGCAGACAUGCUCUUUCCAUCCUAAGCCUGCCGCUGGAAACGGAACACAGAUCGUCUCCCUUUGCCCUUUGUCUUGAAAAGAGGUUGUACUGGCAGCAUGUCAACCAACCAACCAUGGAAGAGCCUUCCGUCCAACACUCUCACUGGACCUGUUUAGAACAACCAGCCUAACAUCAUGUUAUUGUGCUUUGGGAAAAAAAGAGGUCACUCAGCGGAACAUAAGAGGAAUGUAUAAACCACAGUAGUCUAAAGCACACAUCACAUUGUAUGACUUUUCCAGUGAUUAUAAUUCGUAGCCUUCUUUUACAUAAUCUUAGUGAAGUUGGGAGCAGUGUGCUCCUGUGAAGUUAGUCACCUAAUGUGACAUAUCCAGUGACUCACUUCUGCUAGUCUGUAAUUCACUCUAAUAAAAUUAAAAAGGUUUGAUUUUA